AUAUAGAUUACAUUCUGAUACAAAACAGUGGCGUAAGAGUGAACUGAAAAGAAGGUUGGGACUUCUAAAAGUGGGCUCAUAUAUGCCAGUGCAAAAAUCUAUUGAUAUAGCACCAUGGUACUGUGAUAUUCUAAGGCACUGGGGAGAACAUGUAAAAGGGAAAAAUUUAUAAAAAUAUCUGACUGACUGACCCAACCAUAGGUCUGGAUUGAGGGGUCUUUAUAACCAUAGGUGAAGGUCUGGAUUGAGGGGUCUUUAUAACCAUAGGUGAAGGUCUGGAUUGAGGGGUCUUUAUAACCAUAGGUGAAGGUCUGGAUUGAGGGGUCUCUAUAACCAUAGGUGAAGGUCUGGAUGGAGGGGUCUUUAUAACCAUAGGUGAAGGUCUGGAUGGAGGGGUCUUUAUAACCAUAGGUGAAGGUCUGGAUGGAGGGGUCUUUAUAACCAUAGGUGAAGGUCUGGAUGGAGGGGUCUUUAUAACCAUAGGUGAAGGUCUGGAUUGAGGGGUCUUUAUAACCAUAGGUGAAGGUCUGGAUUGAGGAGUCUUCAUAACCAUAGGUGAAGGUCUGGAUUGAGGGGUC